rnacentral:rRNA from 1 species
GAGUUUGAUCCUGGCUCAGAUUGAACGCUGGCGGCAGGCCUAACACAUGCAAGUCGAGCGGCAGCGCGGGGCAACCUGGCGGCGAGCGGCGGACGGGUGAGUAACGCGUAGGAAUCUACCCAGUAGCGGGGGAUAGCCCGGGGAAACUCGGAUUAAUACCGCAUACGCCCUAAGGGGGAAAGCAGGGGAUCUUCGGACCUUGCACUAUUGGCAGAGCCUGCGUUGGAUUAGCUAGUUGGUAGGGUAAAGGCCUACCAAGGCGACGAUCCAUAACUGGUCUGAGAGGAUGAUCAGUCACACCGGAACUGAGACACGGUCCGGACUCCUACGGGAGGCAGCAGUGGGGAAUAUUGGACAAUGGGGGCAACCCUGAUCCAGCCAUGCCGCGUGUGUGAAGAAGGCC